GUAAGAAGAGAAAGACAAGUUUGCACAAAAAAACAGAUAGAGGAAACAAGAAUUUGUACCUUGACUGUUCUGCAGCCUCCAGUCUAUGGAUCAUUUGAACACCUAAGAAAAAUGAACCUGGACAGAUCCAUAAAAAUGGAAUUUCAAAAUGUUGUCUGCUACAUGGGCUUAUCAAGAUUAUAUACAGACAGUGAAUGCAUUGUGCUUAGCUGGCUAUUUUCUCAAUGCAAGAAUACAGGGCUCAUGGGAGAGCAAGAAGCUUAAUGCCAAGGCUGAUGAAAGCUGACCCAUUUCAGUUUGCAUGUGACUGCAGGUACAGCUGCAAACACUGUUCACUAACUGAACAUAUGUAUUUUCCCGGCAAGAUGACAGGUUAUUUGGCUUACAUGUCAAAUAGGGUCUCGAAACAACAGAAAACUACUCAAGACAUAGAAGCUCUACCAGCCCACUGAUGGUCAAUAGUCCUUCAAAAGCUGAAAUUCACUGCAGAAGUUAGGAGUUUACCUCAAAGCUGGACAGUGUAUCACAGUGACUGUCACGAUGUAAAAUAAAGGUCUUCAAAUCCAGAAAAAGUUCUCCACUCUCUGAGGAAAUUAGUGCUUUUUAAUCUGCCAUUCAUCACAUCCACAUAAGAACAAAGCGGAUUUUCAGGUCAGAUACCUCUCCUAAAAAUCAAUAAGGUGCCAUUGAAAAGUUGAGUUUGAAAAGUAUAGUAAAAAUAUCUGUAUGUGAAAUCUGUGUAAAUGAGGUGCUUAUACGUAUGUGUACAAUACCGAGAGAUGUUUGAGCCUCUCUUCACCAACAGAACGCAAGUGGGUUCUUGCAUGGGCUUGUAUAAGUGAUGGAAAUGAAGUCAUACAGAACUGAAUUCAUGUUUUUGCUAAGGAGAUGUACAGAGUCUUUUUCUUUCAGGCAACUUAUUCCUUGAGGUCAAAUGCAUCAAAAUAUAUCGAAAAAGUGAGUAAUACUUUAUUAGGUUUUAAAAAAUAUAACCAUCAAAAAUAGACUUUCUAAAAGAUUGUAGAAGUGUCACUGCAAAGCUGUGAGUACCUGGGCAGUGUGAACAAGAUUCAGAUGAGUUGUGGGAGUUGGUUUUGAAUCAUGAUAAUGAAAAUGUUUGUUUGGAAUUGACCUGGAGUAUAAAUAACUGAUUUCUCAAAGGUAAAGCUUUUAUAGAUGAAAAAAAACAAAAACAAAAAACAAAACUGUUUUAAUUUUAAAAGGAAUCAAUUAUUGUAAUGAAGCUACAAAGACUGAGCUGGUGUUUAAGUAAUGGGAGUUUUCACAAGCAGAUCACUCCAGACAAACAUCAGGUUGGCUAAGAAGGCACUGGGCUGCUUUCAGGAUUUUUUUUCCCCUAAGCAGUAUAGCUUUAAAAAACAACUGUUUGGUGCCGGAUUGAACCAUUCUGUGAACUAAAGAGAUGGGAACUGGCUACUGCUGCUGAAGCCUUAAAUGUCCUUCAUUUCUCCUGAUCAUUUAGACUUGUUUGGUUGCAGCCAGCUUGUGAGGCGUUUUGGCACUGAGUCUAUUUCCACACUGUGGCAUUUGUUUCCAUUUUGGAUCUAAACUUGCUCCAAUUAAAGCUUGUUCCAUGGUUUUCUGCUGCUCAUAAAUGCAGCAAUUCAGGACUAAUUUAAUAAUACAUCUUUCUAAAAAAUGCUGACUUAUCAGGUCUGAUUUUUCUCUAUGUGUGUUGUUUCUGACAGCAUUUUCUGAUCAAAACUAGACUCUGUACUAAAGCAUUGAAGCAGCUAUAUUUCUAUGAAUAUCUUAACAGCAUGUCUACAUUCAUCCUUUCCCAGAUGAAGACCUGAAGCAUGUCUCCCACAUGGAAGGCAAAUUUUAUUUGUAUCUAUAUAUGUAUAUGUAUAAUCAUGUGCUUACAUAUAUGUACAUAUACCUCUAGACAUGUUUCCCCAAAUGAAAGAUGAAUCCUGAUAUACUCUACAAAUAAUUCUUAUGUCGUGGGCAGUUUUCUGUACAAGAAAUACAGCAUGAUUCAUGUGCUCAAAUAGAUUUCACUUCCAAGUAGUGCAGAUUCUUCAGUCCUUUGAAGAAGAAUUCAUGCUGUUAACAAAAUACAUUUAGGUUGGGUAAACUUACUUCCCGAGUUUCUUUUCUUUUCCUUGCUCUGCUAAUUGGCAAAACAAAAAGCUUUUGAACAAAAUAUUUUCUUGACUUGUGAGCUUUUCCCCAAUGUUCCCCUGCUCAGAUCUUGCUCAUCCUGCUUCAAACUUUCAUAACUUAGAUGGGAGUUAAAGACCCCACAUAUCCUGGCUUGCAGCAUAUAGUUCUCUGCAUUGGCAGAACCACCAUCAGGAUCAUGAAAAAUGACAUUCUUUCUCAGUAACUUUGUCAUUUUUUUUCCUUUUUUUUGUUUUGUUUACACUUUGAGGAUUCUCUUUCCCUGUCAAUUGGCCUUGAAAAAGGUACAGGGAAUUCAGAAUACAGAAAAUUCCAUGUGGAGCAACAAGGAGAGAAGACAAAACAGCACUGCAGCCCUCCAUUUUCUCUUGACUUCCCACGAAAUGUGAUACCAAGAUCAAAGUUUUAGACUUGAUAAAGCCCUCUGGAGACUUUAUCCAUUUUAGCAAAGGAACUACUCCCCUUUCCACUAACAACAUUAUAUGGGAGAAAGCUCUUGGUUCUCUGGAACAAUCAAGAAUCUAUUUAUUUUAGAAGGGUGUAUGUGAAUAGAUGUAUGUAUACACUUGCAUAAACUACUUCUAAGCUGUCUCAGAAAACAAAUCAGAAUGAUCAGUAGACAAGCAGCAAAAGCAACUCAUUUCAUAAAGAAAAAAUAAAGUAGAUCAAAUACAGUGAUAAUUAUGGGCAAAGGAAAUUCUUCCUCAAAUCUCAAAGACAAGACUGAUAUGUAGAUUUUUCAUAUGGAUUUGCUAUAUGAAGGUAGAUGUCCAUCUCUAGCUAUGUGUAGGUGUUCUCAGUUUACUGUCAUGGUGAUUGUAGCAUUUGUGUGUCAUAACAGUUCUAUAAGCCACAUAACUGGCUCUGAUUCACGGAAGUAAUUAGCAAAAGAUACUGACAUAGUGAAUGGUCAGAAGUUUUAAUUUCUAAUUCUUAAAUGAAUAUGAGAAAAUUCAUGCUGCAUAGAAAGAAAAGUCUAAUAAAUUGGGAUAGAAGCAUUCUUUCUUUAGGACUGUUAAACCAGCACAAAUCAUGGGCCAAAUAAAUACAUGUAAU